UACGUAGGGAGCAAGCGUUGUCCGGAAUCAUUGGGCGUAAAGCGCGCGUAGGUGGUCCCGUAAGUCCGCUGUGAAAGUCGGGGGCUCAACCCUCGGAUGCCGGUGGAUACUGUCGGGCUCGAGUACGGAAGAGGCGAGUGGAAUUCCUGGUGUAGCGGUGAAAUGCGCAGAUAUCAGGAGGAACACCAAUUGCGAAGGCAGCUCGCUGGGACGUUACUGACGCUGAGACGCGAAAGCGUGGGGAGCAAACAGG
rnacentral:rRNA from 1 species